GGAAGAGGUGCUUCGAUGUCCGUG
rnacentral:siRNA from 1 species